AGUGAACGCUGGCGGUAGGCCUAACACAUGCAAGUCGAACGGCAGCACAGUAAGAGCUUGCUCUUACGGGUGGCGAGUGGCGGUCGGGUGAGGAAUACAUCUGAAUCUACUUUUUCGUGGGGGAUAACGUAGGGAAACUUACGCUAAUACCGCAUACGACCUACGGGUGAAAGCAGGGGAUCUUCGGACCUUGCUCGCUUGACUGAGCCGAUGUCGGCUUAGCUAGUUGGCGGGGUAAAGGCCCACCAAGGCGACGAUCCGUAGCUGGUCUGAGAGGAUGAACAGCCACACUGGAACUGAGACACGGUCCAGACUACUACGGGAGGCAGCAGGGGGGAAGAUUGGACAAGGGGCGCAAGCCUGAUCCAGCCAGACCGCGUGGGUGAAGAAGGCCUUCGGGUUGUAAAGCCCUUUUGUUGGGAAAGAAAAGCAGCAGGUUAAUACCCCGCUGUUCUGACGGUACCCAAAGAAUAAGCACCGGCUAACUUCGUG
rnacentral:rRNA from 1 species